CCCAUGGCUCAGAUUGAACGCUGGCGGCAGGCCUAACACAUGCAAGUCGAGCGGAUGACAGGAGCUUGCUCCUGAAUUCAGCGGCGGACGGGUGAGUAAUGCCUAGGAAUCUGCCUGGUAGUGGGGGACAACGUUUCGAAAGGAACGCUAAUACCGCAUACGUCCUACGGGAGAAAGCAGGGGACCUUCGGGCCUUGCGCUAUCAGAUGAGCCUAGGUCGGAUUAGCUAGUUGGUGAGGUAAUGGCUCACCAAGGCGACGAUCCGUAACUGGUCUGAGAGGAUGAUCAGUCACACUGGAACUGAGACACGGUCCAGACUCCUACGGGAGGCAGCAGUGGGGAAUAUUGGACAAUGGGCGAAAGCCUGAUCCAGCCAUGCCGCGUGUGUGAAGAAGGUCUUCGGAUUGUAAAGCACUUUAAGUUGGGAGGAAGGGCAUUAACCUAAUACGUUAGUGUUUUGACGUUACCGACAGAAUAAGCACCGGCU
rnacentral:rRNA from 1 species